GCUCUGUGAUGAACUCCAUGCGUGUCAUCUGAGCCUGGCUUCCCUGUCAUCUCAGCCCAGGUAGUGUUCUACUUCCCAAGGCUGUUGUCUGGCCUGGAAAGGGGAUCCCAGGCAAAGGAUCAACCUUUGUAUUCUGAGAGC
ensembl:snoRNA SNORD10 small nucleolar RNA, C/D box 10